CGGGAUCAUCAAGCUUGCUUGGUGGUGAGAGUGGCGAACGGGUGAGUAAUGCGUGACCGACCUGCCCCAUGCUCCGGAAUAGCUCCUGGAAACGGGUGGUAAUGCCGGAUGUUCCACAUGAUCGCAUGUGAUUGUGGGAAAGAUUCUAUCGGCGUGGGAUGGGGUCGCGUCCUAUCAGCUUGUUGGUGAGGUAACGGCUCACCAAGGCUUCGACGGGUAGCCGGCCUGAGAGGGCGACCGGCCACAUUGGGACUGAGAUACGGCCCAGACUCCUACGGGAGGCAGCAGUGGGGAAUAUUGCACAAUGGGCGCAAGCCUGAUGCAGCGACGCCGCGUGAGGGAUGGAGGCCUUCGGGUUGUAAACCUCUUUUGUUUGGGAGCAAGCCUUCGGGUGAGUGUACCUUUCGAAUAAGCGCCGGCUAACUACGUGCCAGCAGCCGCGGUAAUACGUAGGGCGCAAGCGUUAUCCGGAUUUAUUGGGCGUAAAGGGCUCGUAGGCGGCUCGUCGCGUCCGGUGUGAAAGUCCAUCGCUUAACGGUGGAUCUGCGCCGGGUACGGGCGGGCUGGAGUGCGGUAGGGGAGACUGGAAUUCCCGGUGUAACGGUGGAAUGUGUAGAUAUCGGGAAGAACACCGAUGGCGAAGGCAGGUCUCUGGGCCGUCACUGACGCUGAGGAGCGAAAGCGUGUGGAGCGAACAGGAUUAGAUACCCUGGUAGUCCACGCCGUAAACGGUGGACGCUGGAUGUGGGGGCAC
rnacentral:rRNA from 1 species